rnacentral:misc_RNA from 1 species
GAGCGGAAUUUUACUCAAACUACCUCAAGCUGUGAUGGCCACUGGUCAAGUUCUAUUCCAUCGGUUCUAUUGCAAAAAGUCAUUUGCCCGAUUUGAUGUCAAGAAAGUUGCAGCUAGUUGUGUCUGGCUUGCAUCUAAACUAGAGGAAAGCCCUCGGAAGUCGAGGCAAGUCAUUAUUGUUUUUCAUAGAAUGGAAUGCAGGAGAGAGAAUUUACCUAUAGAAUUUUUGGACCUAAAUUCAAAGAAAUUUGCAGAGUUGAAGGUAGAACUGAGCAGAACAGAAAGACACAUAUUAAAAGAGAUGGGUUUUGUUUGUCAUGUUGAGCAUCCCCACAAAUUCAUCUCAAACUACCUUGCCACCCUCGAAACACCUCCAGAAUUGAGACAAGAAGCUUGGAAUCUUACAAAUGAUAGUUUGCGGACAACCUUGUGCGUUCGUUUCAAGAGUGAGGUUGUGGCUUGUGGGGUUGUAUAUGCCGCUGUCCGUAGGUUCCAGGUACCCCUUCCUGAGAAUCCACCAUGGUGGAAGGCAUUUGAUGCAGAUAAAUCUGGGAUUGAUGAAGUUUGUAGAGUUCUGGCUCACUUGUACAGCCUUCCCAAGGCAAAGUACAUAUCGGUCUGCAAGGAUGGAGAUUUUUCUUUUUCUAGCAAGUCUUCAGAUUCACAACUUCAAUCAGUUCCAAAGGAAGUUCUGCAGGGUGGCUCACCAGCUAAUGAUGUUGUUGCCCCUAAGGCAGCCUCAACUGUUGUUAGUGUUGAAUCUGGCGGUUCAAAGGGUGCAAUAAAAGCAGCUCUAGACAAGCUGAAGGAAUCUAAGAAGAG